GACGAACGCUGGCGGCGUGCCUAAUACAUGCAAGUAGAACGCUGAAGGAGGAGCUUGCUUCUCUGGAUGAGUUGCGAACGGGUGAGUAACGCGUAGGUAACCUGCCUGGUAGCGGGGGAUAACUAUUGGAAACGAUAGCUAAUACCGCAUAAGAGUAGAUGUUGCAUGACAUUUGCUUAAAAGGUGCAAUUGCAUCACUACCAGAUGGACCUGCGUUGUAUUAGCUAGUUGGUGGGGUAACGGCUUACCAAGGCGACGAUACAUAGCCGACCUGAGAGGGUGAUCGGCCACACUGGGACUGAGAAACGGCCCAGACUCCUACGGGAGGCAGCAGUAGGGGAUCUUCGGCAAUGGACGGAAGUCUGACCGAGCAACGCCGCGGGAGGGAAGAAGGGUUUCGGAUCGUAAAGCUCUGUUGUAAGAGAAGAACGAGUGUGAGAGUGGAAAGUUCACACUGUGACGGUAUCUUACCAGAAAGGGACGGCUAACUACGUG
rnacentral:rRNA from 1 species